CACGGGGGGAGCAAGCGUUGUUCGGAAUCACUGGGCGUAAAGCGCGUGUAGGCGGUUGGGUAAGUGGGAUGUGAAAUGCCUCGGCUCACCCGAGGAUCUGCAUCCCAAACUGCCCGACUUGAGUAUGGGAGAGGAUGAGGGAAUUCCUGGUGUAGCGGUGAAAUGCGUAGAUAUCAGGAGGAACACCGGUGGCGAAGGCGCUCAUCUGGCCCAAUACUGACGCUAAAGCGCGAAAGCUAGGGGAGCAAACGGG
rnacentral:rRNA from 1 species